GUCUUAUUAUCAAUAAUAUCCGUUAAUACUAUGCGUUAACAAUUAUACAUUAUACGCGUGUGUACAACAGCCGGACGAUCUGUGCGCGAAAUGACAAUGAACGAUGGACAAACAUGGGCAAUACUAUUAAAGAGAGAGAAAAAAAAAAAGAGACUUUGAACGACGGUAGUAUUAACAGCGAUAGUGCGAGUCCACGAGUCGCUUCGCGCCACACCACAGGCGAAAACAAAUUAAUCGAUAAAGUGUAUGACCGUCGACGCAGCGACGUUUCGCGAUGACAUAUGUAUAUUACAUAAGGCGCGGAAAUCCUCUAUUUAAGCAGAUCACAGCUGCUUCCGCCUGGCCACAUUUUGGAUCUCUCCAAAUUCAUUGCGUGAAAGUUUCAUUAAUGGCGAAAAACUCCACGCUCGAGAAACGCCAAGACUCGUUGAACGAUUCCGCAAAAAUAUUCGAUCACCUCUCUCGGACUCUAUCGAUAGAAAAUUUAUACGUAUAAACGAAGAGCGUCUCUUUGACGCUCGCUGACGUUUGUUUCACGUGUCGUUUUCAUUUUCACCGAAUCACUCAAUGUUUUUUCCCACCGCAUUUUUAUGAUAAAUGCAACACAAAGGAAAACGAAUGAGUUACAUAAAGGAACGUAAGAAACGAUUGGACAAAUGAUGAAACCAUACAUCAUCACAAUAGUUUAUAUCAGAGACCAAUUAUUGAAGAAGAAGACGGUUGAUAGAUCUCCCUGGGGUUUUUACGUCGUACGUAAACCGUGUGUUUCACCGUAGAGAAAAAGAAAGAGGGAAGAGUUUUUAAAAUUUUCAAGCUCUGAAAAUGAAAUUUACAAUUUCGAUCGUAAGGGAACUACUUUUUCACGGUGGGAAAAAAUUAUGCUAGAGUUGCGCGUUGUUGCUCCUUCGUUAAACGCACUCGGAUAAUGGCACUCGAGUCCAAGCACGUCGGUGUCGUUCCUCUGGUUCGCCGGGAAAGUGUUUUCGUUCAGCUCUCCUUUGAUGUUGUCGGAAAGGACGUUAAUAAAGGCUUGUCCCUCGCGCGUCGUUUCAACGAAAAUGCAACAUUUUCUAUUUUUUUAUUUUUUUUCUUAAUCGUCUACCACGCGAAUAAAAGUUUAAUUAAUCGAAAUUCUAAAUUGUACAAUCUGAGACACUUGACGAUUAAUCUUUCGCAGAUAGGUUAUGUAAUUUACUAGUGCGAAAGACACGAUCGAUAAGAUAGAUUAAAUAAAUCGGUAACAAGAAUGCAAUGCAGUGACAGGAGUAUCGAUGUUCGAGAAUUUCAUCGAUAACAAAAUUAUUACUGGGUACUUCGUCGAAUACGAGAUCACGUUUGAGGUUAUACUACUUCACGUCGCUGAAAUAAAAUUGGAACUAGCAAUUGGAAACACUUUACGAACAUUUCUAGGGACAAAUGACAGACCUUCUGGGAACAGAAUGGUCGUGUUUGAUUGGAUUUCCGAGAUGAAAGAAAUUUUCGAAACGUCCGAUUCAAACCUUGCGCACGAGAUGUAAAUAAACACCACCUGAUCGACGAAGAAACGAUUAGGACGAUGCUAGACAAUGCUCUGUUUCAAGCUACAUACGUAUAUCUCUAUUUUAUAAAAGCGUGUGUAUAAAACUCGAGGUAGAGACCAGUAGUACAUAUGUAGUAGUUGCAUUCUUAUUGAUCGGACCGUUUUAAUCUUAUCUACAUGACAGAGUUAUCUAACUAAUAAGCAGAAAACGUGAAACUAAAAAGUUGAGACCAUCGUCACGUCGCUCUCGUAAUAUUUAUUGUACUUACUAUUCUUUCUUCGCGUGGAGUUCGCGAGAAUGUUUUUCUUUUUUUUUUUUAAUUAUCUAACAAGUAAACAACAGGAUACCCCUUGUAAACGCGGCUAAAGUUUAUUUUUACCUCUUUCUCCUCCGAAUAGAUUUCAUCUCAUAGAAUUCUACCGUAGAAGGUUCUCAUUUCAAGUAUGGCGAGAACGUAGAACUUUAAUUGUAUACGUGACGCGUCAUAAACGCCAAUCGUGGUAUGUACUUGAAUUAAAGUUGACCUCUUAGCUGUGAGUGACGAGUUAUGCGAGGAAAGCAAUUACAAUUCGUUGCUCAAGUUAAAUUUGUUCACGGGAAAUAAAAUUUACACAUUUGUAAAUUUUAGACGGUUCAGAAUAUUUUGAGACUAGGCUUGACUAGUUCUUUUUACGUCAUUUCUAAAUAUUUUUUUUUGCUAUUAAUAUUAAUUAUGUUAAACAAUUAAAUUAUUGAUUUUUCGAAAAAAGAAACUCUUUCUAAUUUUUCAGCAGCUGCAUUUGACGAGUACAAUCGUCGUUCUAGCGACACAUUUUUAAACACCACAGUUAAGAGGUUAAAUUGCUGCGUAAAGACGUGUCAUUCGGUUCUUCAAAAUUGUCUCGACGCGAUAUUAAAAGAAGCUCGCCUAUUACUUUUGGUCUGAUCCAAGCUCGAUGCUAUUUUUAUACGUAACGUGAUGAUUUUUGUUCAUACGUAAUAGACGAUUGAACACUCGUCACACGUGGCUUCGAUAAUUUGAUACGCUGAUAAACGGCGAGUGGAAUAUUCGACUGACUUUCGAUAAAUCACGAUGGACAGCCAAUGUUUCACGAAAAACAGUGUGCAACGAUAACU